GAACGCAUAUUGCGCUCUUUGGUAUUCCGAAGAGCAUGCUUGUUUGAGUAUCAGUAAACACCUCAACCUCUCUUUUUUGAUAAAAAAAAGGGAGGGUGGACUUGAGCUAUCCCAACGACCUUCACCGGUAGGCGGGCGGCUUGAAAUGCAGGUGCAGCUGGACUUUUAUCUGAGCUAAAAGCAUAUUUAUUUAGUCCCGUCAAACGGAUUAUUACUUUUGCUGCAGCUAACAUAAAGGGAGUUUGACCGUAUUGGCUGACUGAUGCAGGAUUUCACAAGGGUCGGCAACGAUUCUUGUAAAACUCGAUCUCAAAUCAAGUAAGACUACCCGCUGAACUUAAG
rnacentral:misc_RNA from 1 species